rfam:Oryzias latipes DNA, chromosome12, strain: Hd-rR.
ACAACGGCUCUUUUAAGAGCCACCUACCAAACCUUUAGGAGCUUG